rnacentral:rRNA from 1 species
UACGAAGGGGGCUAGCGUUGUUCGGAAUUACUGGGCGUAAAGCGCGCGUAGGCGGCUUGCCAAGUUGGGGGUGAAAUCCCGGGGCUUAACCCCGGAAUUGCCCUCAAAACUGGAAGGCUUGAGGUCGAGAGAGGUAAGGGGAAUUCCUAGUGUAGAGGUGAAAUUCGUAGAUAUUAGGAAGAACACCAGUGGCGAAGGCGCCUUACUGGCUCGAUUCUGACGCUGAGGUGCGAAAGCGUGGGGAGCAAACAGG